rnacentral:rRNA from 1 species
UCACCCAGCGAAAUGUAUGUUCUCGACAUCGCCUCGUGACGAAAGUCAGCGAGUGUCAAUGUGUGUCAAAGCACGGCGACUAUAUUAUUAACUAUACUAACCCCUCCUUACACUAGUUGUCUAUUUAUCUGUUGUUCUUUGCGAUUGUCGUGUGUUUAAUUACGCAUCGCAGUCAUAUUGGGCAUCACGUUUAUUUACUUGAACGUUAAAAUACAACUCUUAGCAAUGGAUAUCUUGGUUCUCGCAACGAUGAAGAACGCAGCGAAAUGCGAUACGUAAUGCGAAUUGCAGAAUUCAGUGAAUCAUCAAAUCUUUGAACGCAAAUUGCGCUCUUGGGUAGCCCUAGGAGCACGCCUAUCUCAGUAUCGGUUCAACAACAACUCAGCAGCGUGUGUGUUCACAUUCAUUUGUGUUCAUAUUCGUGUUGGCUGGAUAAUGCGAGUCAGAUUGCUUCAGUGCGACUUGUCUCGUUAAGUAUAUCGAGUGAACAUCUAACGAGCCCAUCAGCUCUGUUAUCGACUUUAUUGUCAAUGACAGAUAGUCAGUCUCUGACUGUCGAUGUGUGCGAGUGACGUGAAUACUGGCCUUCAUUGGUCUCCUUUUACGUGUAACUUGUUGCAUUGAUACUCAAGUCUAGGAUCGACGAACGAUGAGUGAGUAAUGUUUUACGUACCGUGGUCACCCACAAUCGAUGACAGACAAAUGUCAUCUGAAUUUUGAUCU